UCGCCACCAUGCUUCCAGAUUUUGGGCAUUCUUUUUCACAUUGAUCGACUGUCGCAUAACACAAAUUUCUCGCAAGGCAACAGUAGGCAUCAAUGAACUUUUUGUAAGCGCACAACCCAUGUGGUAAAUUGAUCUUAUCAUUAUUGAUGCCGUCGGUGGUGAUUCGACCUAGGGAAUAACAAAUAAAUCAUUAUCAUUAGUAUGAAUUUGGAUAGAUCUACAAACAUGCACCAGAUUGGAAAAACGAAAAAAAAAAAAGCAGUCGUCAUGCACUAGCAAUACACCUAUUAAUAUUCAGCAGAAAUAAGAAAUUAUUACGCAUGGAUACGUAUUGUAAACACAGAUUAUCAAAAGUUGACAAAUAACAAUUGCAUAUCCCAUCCCUACUUACAUUGUGUAGUAGUAGCAAGGCAUAUGAGAAGAAGUAGAGCCUGCAGCAGGACUCUCGAAUGGAUGGGAGUCGUGUACUUGGCCAUCUAGAUAAUGUGAU
rnacentral:lncRNA from 1 species